AAGUCUACCAUCUGCAGGCUUAUGACUGAACGCCUCUAAGUCAGAAUCCCACCUAGACGUAGUGAUACCGCAGCGCCGCCGGCACCUCGGUGGGCUCGCGAUAGCCGGCCGCCCAUCCCGUGGCGUGGGCCUGGUGCAGUGCCCCUUGUGGUCCAGACAGGAGGGGUAAACAGAUGUGGCUCUGUCUCUGCUGUCACAUGACACAUGUGCAUGGGGCACCUGGUGCUAAAUCAUUCAUAGGUGACCAGAUUUUGGGUCAGGGUUUUGUAUGUAGCAGAGCAGCUCCCUUGCUGCGAUCUAUUGUAUUGUGAAACAGCCCUCGACACAAGCUUUUUU
rfam:Pterocles gutturalis contig79012, whole genome shotgun sequence.